rnacentral:tRNA from 1 species
GGACCUGUGGUCUAGUGGUUAGGACACAUGACUCUGAAUCACGUAACCCGAGUUCAAGUCUCUGUAGCGGAUCCU